GAGCUGUGACAGUGUCCUGGCUGUGCAGGAGCUUCAGCAAGGGAAGCUUACGGGAUGAGAUACUCCAUCACAUUGCUGAUGGUCUGCUUGAGCAGCAUGAUGAUGGCCAUCUGGAUGAAGAGCCACCACUCACCGUCCCAGGAAGAAGGCAAUGUAGAUGAGCGAGGAGAAGUUUGUGAAGAACUGGAAGGUGCCACAGCAGCUCUGUGAAGGUUGAAAAGGUGUCCUUGCCCUCCAUCUGUGCCCUCUGACAGAGGAGAGCCCUGCUAAGCAAGGAGGUCCCUCAGAACCAUGAGCCUGGGAAAAAGGGCCUUUCA